rnacentral:rRNA from 1 species
AUUGAACGCUGGCGGCAUGCCUUACACAUGCAAGUCGAACGGUAACAGGUCUUCGGAUGCUGACGAGUGGCGAACGGGUGAGUAAUACAUCGGAACGUGCCCAGACGUGGGGGGUAACGAGGCGAAAGCUUUGCUAAUACCGCAUACGAUCUAAGGAUGAAAGCAGGGGACCGCAAGGCCUUGUGCGUUUGGAGCGGCCGAUGGCAGAUUAGGUAGUUGGUGGGAUAAAAGCUUACCAAGCCGACGAUCUGUAGCUGGUCUGAGAGGACGACCAGCCACACUGGGACUGAGACACGGCCCAGACUCCUACGGGAGGCAGCAGUGGGGAAUUUUGGACAAUGGGCGAAAGCCUGAUCCAGCAAUGCCGCGUGCAGGAUGAAGGCCUUCGGGUUGUAAACUGCUUUUGUACGGAACGAAAAGGCUCUGGCUAAUACCUGGGGCACAUGACGGUACCGUAAGAAUAAGCACCGGCUAACUACGUG